GGUUUCCUGUUUAAGAUGGCGUCUCCUGUGGCAGCGCAAGCCGGAAAGCUUUUGCGAGCCCUAGCAUUGCGGUCCGGCUUCCUGGUGGCUGGGUCCCAGGCAGUUCAAUUAACCUCCAGAAGAUGGCUGCGCUUGCGGGAAUACCAGAGCAAGAAACUUUAAUAACGGAGUGAGAGUUCAAAGAUUCUUUGUAGCCGACACUGUGAAUGAAGCUCUGGAGGCUGCUAAGAGACUAAAUGCAAAAGAAGUUGCUUUAAAAGCCCAGAUCUUAGCUGGAGGAAGAGGAAAACGUGUCUUUAAUAGUGGUUUGAAAGGAGGUGUUCAUUUAAGAAAAGACCCUAAGGUUGUGGGAUAGCUGGCUAAACAAAUGAUUGGGUACAAUCUAGCGACAAAACAAACUCCAAAAGAAGGUGUGAGUUAACAAGGUGAUGGUUGCUGAAGCCUUUGACAUUUCCAGAGAAACCUACCUGGCAAUUCUGAUGGACAGGUCCUGCAAUGGCCCCGUGCUGGUGGGCAGCCCCCAGGGGGGCGUCGACGUUGAAGAGGUGGCUGCUUCAAACCCAGAGCUCAUUUUUAAGGAGCAAAUUGACAUUUUUGAAGGAAUAAAGGCCAGCCAAGCUCAGCGGAUGGCAGAAAAUCUAGGCAUCGUUGGGCCUUUGAAAAGGCAGGCUGCAGAUCAACUUACGAAACUGUAUAAUCUCUUCCUGAAAAUUGGUGCUACUCAGGUGGAAGUGAAUCCCUUUGGUGAAACUCCAGAAGGAUAAGUUGUCUGUUUUGAUGCCAAGAUAAACUUUGAUGAAUUUGCAGAAUUCCGACAAAAAGACAUAUUUGCUAUGGAUGACAAAUCAGAGAAUGAGCCCAUUGAAAAUGAAGCUGCCAAAUAUGAUCUAAAAUACAUAGGACUAGAUGGGAACAUUGCCUGCUUUGUGAAGGGUGCUGGGCUCGCCAUGGCUACUUGUGAUAUCAUUUUCCUUAAUGGUGGGAAGCCAGCCAACUUCUUGGAUCUUGGAGGUGGUGUAAAGGAAGCUCAAGUAUAUCAAGCAUUCACAUUGCUCACAGCUAAUCCUAAGGUUGAAGCCAUCCUUGUCAAUAUUUUUGGCAGUAUCGUCAACUGUGCCAUCAUUGCCAAUGGGAUCACCAAAGCCUGCUGGGAGCUAGAACUCAAGGUGCCCCUGGUGGUCCGGCUUGAAGGAACCAACAUCCAAGAGGCCCAGAAGAUACUCAACAACAGCGGACUCCCCAUUACUUCAGCCAUUGACCUGGAGGAUGCAGCCAAGAAGGCUGUGGCCAAGAAGUGAUGUCUUUGUCCUGAUCCGAUGGGGAAAGAAAGCCAUUUUUCCAUAAAAAGGGACGGUUCAUCAUUGUGAAAGAAAUGGUUAUCUCAUUGGGGAGGAAAAGGGGGGAGAAGGCAAGAAUCACUGAAAAAUCUUAAAUCUGUGUUUUCUGGAAUAAUAUAUGUAGACAGCCUAAAUCUGAUUUUAGUCUUUUUAAAAAUAAUAUCUUGUA